rnacentral:rRNA from 1 species
UACGUAGGGGGCAAGCGUUGUCCGGAAUCAUUGGGCGUAAAGAGCGUGUAGGCGGCCCGGCAAGUCCGCUGUGAAAGUCCAGGGCUCAACCCUGGGAUGCCGGUGGAUACUGUCGGGCUCGAGUCCGGAAGAGGAGUGUGGAAUUCCUGGUGUAGCGGUGAAAUGCGCAGAUAUCAGGAGGAACACCAAUGGCGAAGGCAGCACUCUGGGACGUGACUGACGCUGAGACGCGAAAGCGUGGGGAGCAAACAGG